GUGUCAGCAGCCGCGGUAAUACGGAGGGUGCGAGCGUUGUUCGGAAUUACUGGGCGUAAAGGGCGCGUAGGCGGUUUGCUAAGUCAGAUGUGAAAGUCCACGGCUCAACCGUGGAAGUGCAUUUGAAACUGGCAGACUUGAGUACUGGAGGGGGUGGUGGAAUUCCCGGUGUAGAGGUGAAAUUCGUAGAUAUCGGGAGGAAUACCGGUGGCGAAGGCGACCACCUGGCCAGAUACUGACGCUGAGGUGCGAAAGCGUGGGGAGCAAACAGGAUUAGAAACCCCCGUAGUCC
rnacentral:rRNA from 1 species